UUGAUAUUUACACUUGCAGUUAGAAACCUCACCCGUUGUCAACGUAUGCUUCCUCCAAUUUCUUCAAUUCUAUAUAGUUAAGCGUUCGUUUUUUAUUGUUGUUUGUCUUCAACCUUGGUGAAAAUCUACAACAAAUCGAGGACGUUUUUACAGGAAAUUUAAGAGUCUCGACUUCAAGUAUUUUCACUGAACUCGUACAGUAGAUGCAAGUUAAAGAUGUGCAGAUUCCAUCCACUCCAUAGUGAAGUUCUUCAAGUAUAAGUUUAGAUACAAAGUUCGACUGUGGGAUGCAAACGCUGCUGAGUGUUUAGGUAACCUUAAAAUUCGAGCAUCAGAGCAACAAUGGCUGCAAUUACAGACCCCUUUAUAUGUGGCAAGUCUACAUGUAAACUAUUUCUUUUUCUCUUAUAAUAGUUUCAUGUCACAAGUUUUAAAGAAUGGUUUAAAAAAUUCCCUAUGCUUUUUCUUAUAUUUUCUCAUUUCACCCUUUAAUGGUACUUGCUUUUUAGAGAGAGAGAGAGUGAGAGAAAUAAAUUGGUCCAAGGAUCGAAAUCUGCAAUUUUUAGUUGAGUUUGACGAUGAUAUGAGCUUCUUUAAUGAAAUUCUGAAGCCAUUACUUUUAUUGUUUACUUAUGUUAAUUUCACAAUAUUUUAAUUAUUUCUCUUCUUUAACUUCGUUUAUUUCUCUUCUUUUUCUUGGUUUAUCCUUUCUUCUUCUCUCUCAACUUUACAAAGGUUCUCUGCGAAUUUUUUUUUUUUAUAGAUUUGUUUUUCCACCAAAUAAUUUUGAUUUUUGAUUCAGUUGAACUUUAGGAGGAGUAUAGGGCUUCUUAUGCUGAAGACGAUGCUUUUCAUUUCCUAGACAACAAUGAUAUUCAUGAGUAUUUACAAUAAAUUAUUUUUAUUGAACUCUGGAUUUUUACAAAUUAAUUUUUGUUUCUGGAUUGGAAGAAUCAAGUGAAUUGAAUGAUUUGGACUUGUUUUUAAGGCUAAGAGAAAAGGAAGAUUUUUCAAAAAUGAAACUUAAACCUCAUCAUGUCAAUCAUUCGUUGUGGGCUUGUGCUGAUGGUCAAAUUUUUCUCAAAACUUUUUCCCGUGUACAAACAAGCCUAUAACUUCCUCAUUGGCAUUGUUGAACCUAUUUCCAGGUAUCAUUUUAAUCAAUAUACUAUGAUUAUAUGUGUCACGUGUUUGACCCAUUGCUUAGAUACUACGAUACAAAAAUUGAGAGUUGAUGGCUCAUAGCAGUAUUACUCUACGGCAAAGAGUAAAAAUAAAAGGAUUAAUGGCUCUAUAGUGGUUGUACUUUAGACGAGAGGUACAAUUGACAUUGAGCUACUACACUUGCAUAGUUGAACUAGCAGGUUUAUUGAUUUCGAAUGUAAUUGGAAUUUAAUUUUAAUUUUUAUAUUUUCUAUUUUACAGGCCCGAGUCAAUGCAUGAGUACGAUUUCGCACCACACUGCAUAUGUCAUAGUGGGAAUGUUUGUACCUGCCAUGAAGGGACAUGGCAUUGAUGUACAACAACAAAAAUGGUUGUCAUUGACCUAUAAAAUGCAAAAAAUUUGCUGCUAUGCACAAACUCAACUUGGUCAUGGCUUCAACAUACAAGGUCUUGAAACCACUACAACAUUUGACCAUAAGGCUGAUGAAUCUGUAGUUCAUACUCUAACAUUGACUUUAAGCGAAGUAAGAAACAUGAUAGAUAAGAGGUUGGUAAUGUUUCAGGUUCCUGUUAAACAUUGGGACAAAUGCUUUUUCACUACACAUCUAAUUAUUGUAUUAUAGUUGUUUUCUUAUCCACUUACGUUUCUAAUUUCUUAUGCUAUAUUUUAUGUAUCUUCCUCGAAUUCCUCAAAUUUGUUCUAUAUUUUCUGUCUUAUUUUCCGAAUAGUGGUGUCCUGAUGGACUAGGUAAAUUGUCCACCCAUGCGGUUGUUUAUGCAUGCCAUUACAAUGGUAAAGAUCAUGGAGUUCAUGGUAAGAAUAUAUAGCCUCUAUUGACAUUGAUAUCCAAUUUUGUUCUUGCACAUGUUAGUCCAAGUUUUCAUAUUGUUUAGGCUUUAUUGUCCAACUACAGAACUUGGAGGACCACACUCUUUCGAGAAUCAUCCUUGGUCAUACUGAAUCAAAAUUUGGAAAUGGAGCAUGCAACACCAUGGACAAUGAGCUAUAGGGAGAACAUGGUUCUUACCGUGAUCGAACCAUUCGUCAAAUUUAUCCUGCACAAGAUGAAUGUUUUAGGUAUCUGGAAGAGCACGUCCGAUAUUGGGAUGAUAAUUUAAUGGAGUUGAAGGUAUUCAUUGUUGAUGGCAUUCCACAUCAACAAAAUGGCCUUGAUUGUGGAAUCUUCAUGAUUAAAUAUGCGGAAUACUUACUUUCUGAUGGUAUUUCAAGUAUGCCGAUGACAUUUGAUGCUAAUAGAGCUAGGUUGGAUAUAGCUUCACUGCUGUCUAAACAUCGGCAAAUCAGGCAGGUCACAAAGUAGGGUAAGAAGAAAGGAGAUAACAUCAUAUAGAUAAAUUGUUUCCAAAUAGGUUACUGUAUUUUCAAUUCAACAUCAGUUUUCUUGUUUAAUUUUUUUUUAUAAUGUCUACGAUUGGAUCUAUGUUCAAUAUGAGUAAUACAACCGUUUUAGUUUGUUAAUGUUGAUGAUGAAAUUUUAUUCAUUUUGAA